CUGAGGCGUGAUGUGGAGGUUCCGGAAACGGAACUGAAGCUGCUGACCCCACACUGUCGAGAAAAGCUUCUAGUUAGAGAAUUACCGCCCGUACCGUAAACCGACACAGGUAUGCGGGGAGAGAAUCCUAAGGUGCGCGGGAGAACCCUCGUUAAGGAACUCGGCAAAAUGUACCCGUAACUUCGGGAUAAGGGUAGCCGCUGUUGUGAAGUCUGCACAGACGGAGCAUGAGGCGGUCGCAGAGAAGAGGCCCAAGCGACUGUUUACCACAAACACAGGUGCCUGCUAAAGAGAAAUCUGACGUAUAGGUGCUGACACCUGCCCAGUGCCGGAAGGUUAAGGAAGGAUGUCCGGAGCAAUCCAAAGCAUUCGACCGAAGCCCCGGUGAACGGCGGCCGUAACUAUAACGGUCCUAAGGUAGCGAAAUUCCUUGUCGGGUAAGUUCCGACCCGCACGAAAGGUGUAACGAUUUGGGCACUGUCUCAACGAGGGACCCGGUGAAAUUGAAGUACCUGUGAAGAUGCAGGUUACCCGCGACUGGACAGAAAGACCCCAUGGAGCUUUACUGUAACCUGACAUUGGGUUCUGAUACAUCACGUACAGGAUAGGUGGGAGGCAUGGAAGCGAGGACGCUAGUCUUCGUGGAGCCGCCGUUGGGAUACCACCCUUGAUGUAUCGGAAUUCUAACCGUAGGAGUAACGAAACUCGGGACAGUGUCAGGCGGGCAGUUUGACUGGGGCGGUCGCCUCCCAAAGAGUAACGGAGGCGCCCAAAGGUUCCCUCAGCGCGGCCGGAAAUCGCGCGAAGAGUGUAAAGGCAGAAGGGAGCUUGACUGAGAGCCAAACACGGCGAUCAGGUACGAAAGUAGGGCUUAGUGAUCCGGUGGCAUCCAAGUGGAAGGGCCAUCGCUCAACGGAUAAAAGCUACCCUGGGGAUAACAGGCUAAUCUCUCCCAAGAGUCCAUAUCGACGGGGAGGUUUGGCACCUCGAUGUCGGCUCAUCACAUCCUGGGGCUGAAGUCGGUCCCAAGGGUUGGGCUGUUCGCCCAUUAAAGUGGUACGUGAGCUGGGUUCAGAACGUCGUGAGACAGUUCGGUCCCUAUCCAUCGCGGGCGCAAGAGAUUUGAAGGGGGCUGCUCCUAGUACGAGAGGACCGGAGUGGACGAACCAAUGGUGUACCAAUUAUCUCGCCAGAGGUAUAGUUGGGUAGCUACGUUCGGAAAGGAUAAACGCUGAAAGCAUCUAAGCGUGAAACCAGCCUUAAGAUGAGAUCUCUCAUAGAGUAAUCUAGUAAGACACCUUGGAGAAGACGAGGUUGAUAGGUCGGGAGUGUAAGUACAGUAAUGUAUUCAGCGGACCGAUACUAAUAUGUCGAGGGCUUGACUUA
rnacentral:rRNA from 1 species